GAAGUUCUUAGGUAUAGUUUUCCUUCAGUGUGUGUAGCUUUCUUUUGGUUUGAAAAAUAUCACGACUACUGCCCUUAAGGUAUUUUUACUUUGGUUUUGUUUUGAUUUCAUUAACAAAGGGACUGAAAGAAAUAACAGGGGGAGGUUUUCCUGAGGUCACUGGGCAAGGGUUUGAAUAAGAGAGGAAUUUAUUGUAGAGCACGUGCAUGCGCAUGUGCUUUACUAUGUGACCGUGGCCAAGAAGUCACCUAUUCUGUGCCUCUCAUUCUUCAUCUGCAACUUUGUUGUUCCUCUUAGGUUAAAUGAUGUAACUAAUGUGUCUGGCACAGUAGGCAUUUAAGAAAUUUAAGUCCAUUUUUCCCCUCUCUUAAAAGGGUAAUUAAUGUUGGGAAUGAGGAAAUAACAGUGUCUGUGGGAUUCUUAUAAAGAAGACCCAAGAAAGGAUGGCAGGAAGAGAUAUUUUAGAUUAUGUGGCUCUUCAUAUGGUUGUCACUUUUCAACUCCCAGCCCUUAUUUGAAUAAUACCACUGGAGAAGAAAGUAUGGUUGGGAGGAACAGCGUUGGGUUUGGUAGCUGGAGAGUCUUAAAAUGUUUCUUCACCCUUUAUAGGAUCAAAAAGUUGACCAACUAAUCUACUGCUACUACUACUACUUGUUAAUUGGCAAUUUAUAAUUGUAUAAAUUUGUAGGGUAAAAAGUGGUGUUAUGAUUUCUGAAUAUAAUGCAGAAUACUUAAAUCCAGGUAGUUAACAUAUCCAUCACCUCAAAUACUUAAUAUCUUUUGUGGUAAGAACAUUUGAAAAUUACUUUCUCAUCCAGUUGUAAAUGUACAGUAUUCUAUCAUAAACUAUAUUCACCAUGCUGUGUGAUGAUAGAACUAGAAACAGAAAUUCCUCUCAUCUGAGAUUUUGUAUCCUUUGACCAUUAUCUCCCCAUCCCCAGCCUCCGCAGGGUAGAAUGAUGAUUCUGUUCUCUGCUUCUGAGUUCAGUUGUUUUAGAUUCUAUAUAUAAGGGAGAACAUGUGGUAUCUUCCAUGCCUGACUUAUUUCACUUAGCAUUGUUCUCCAGUUCCAUCCACAUCAUCACAAAUGACAGAAUUUCCUUCUUUUUUAAGACUGAAUAGUAUUCUUCAUAGUUCUUAAAGCCUUGAGAAAAUGUGAGUGAUGGCAAAGUCUCAAAGUAAGGAGACUUAUGGUUCAGUGCGUGAAGAAUUAGGAAACCAAGGUCUUAGAGCAGAAAGGUGGCACUGAAGAAUGCUAACAAUGACCACUGGGGUCCUUGUAUAUAAAAUGUUUGAAUUGGAUGACUUGAGGAGAAUAUACUAUUUCAACUAAGUGAAACAAAGGAAAAGUUUAUUUCCAUGGCCAGAGAAAGAUAUAAAAUAUUUCCUUUUUCAGUUUCUAGUACAUUAAAUAUAUUUUUAAAAUAAAUCAGUUUUUCUUUUAGAAAAUCUUUUUUUCUCUCCAUUCUCUGUCCCAUAAAAACCACAUGCUUUUCCAGAACAACAAAAAAUUCAGAAAGGGAAAAAAAUAGUGAGACGUCAUUCUGCCCAGUUAUAAUUAUUUUUCAUGAAAUAAAGUGAAAUGAAACCACCACAUGUGCUUGUUCCUAUUUUGGAGAAACUAUCUACAACUAUGACACGACAGCACUUGGCUUCCCAAUUUCAUUGCAAAAUAAAUGUACUGUUUGCACAACAUGUUCUGUCUUUCAUAUGGUCCUUGAGGACAGAACCUUGUCUUAGCCUUGGGUCCCUGUAAAUGGAUAGAAACUUGCCUGCAGUUCUUUGUCCACUAAACUUAUUUUUUAAGUUCAUUUGGAGCAUUCUCCUGGAAUGUAUAGACUCAUUUAUGAGAUAAGGUGAAAGCAGAUCUGUGUUGCAGAUAGUACCUUGACAAAUUAUAUUUCUGUAUGUUUGAUUUGUAGUCAUUUCAUUUGGCGUAAUUAAUACUGGUCUGGAUUUGGGGAAGGAGAGAGAGACACACACUGAAAUUACCAUCGGAAAAAAGAAGGGAAGAAUUUCAAAUCAGUGACCCAUGUAUUUAUUAGACUUAAUUGGCUGGAACUGGCAGGAUCUCAUAUACGGUUUCUAAAUUACUGGGCGUAAAAUGUGAUGAGUUUGAGAUACUUAGCCUAACUCCUAGAUUAUAAACAGUUUUUGAACAUUCAUUGAGAUCAUUAGGUUCUCCAGUUUUCUCCAAAUGCUAAAUUUGUGUGAUAUAUUCUACCAUGAAAAUACUGUCAUAUCUUUAACAGUAACCAACAAGAAAUGAAAAUAUCAAGUGUUAACAGAGUGCCACCUAUUUUAUAUUUUUAUUAUUAAAAUUCAUGUAUAUCUUCACCAAGAAAUUGACUUCAGUAUUGUUAAAAGCAAGUCAGCAUUAUAAAUAGUUUACUUAAGUAAUUCUAGGACUACUUUUUUUUUAUUUCGUAGGUAUUCGUGGGGUAGAAAAAACUACUGUAGGAAGAAAGGAAAUUUAAAUUUGUGUAACUUCAGUUACUAGAGAGCUAUAUAUAAUGUGCCAUUAAGUACGUUUUAUUAAGUGUAUGUAGCUUCAUCGUUUCUCUCUCUUUAAAAAAAGUGUUUUUCUCUCUGGUAGAAAUGUAAAAUGGUGCAGCUGCUUUGGAAAACAGUGUGGCAGUUCCUCAAAAGGAUAAAUAUAGAGUUACCAUAUGAUCCAACAAUUCCACUCCUAGAUACACUCAAGAGAAAUGAAAAUAUAUGUGCACACACAAAUCUGUACAUGAAUGUUCAUAACAGCAUUAUCUAUAAUAGCCAAAUGCUGGAAACAACAUAAAUGUCCAUCAACUAAGUGGAUGAACAAAUGUUGUAUAUCCAUACAAGAAUUAUUAUUCAGCAAUAAAAAGGAAUGAAAUGUUGACACAAUACUACAACAUGCAUGAACCUUGAAAGCAUUACACUAAGUUAAAGAUGUCAGUUACAAAACACCACAUAUGGUAUAAUUAUAUUUAUAUAAAAUGUCUGAAAUAGGUAAAUCUAUAGGGACAGAAAGUAGAUUAGUGGUUGCCUUGGGCUGGAGGGAUAGGAGGAUGGAGGGUCACCAUAACGGUAUGAGAUUUCUUUUGGAGGUGAUAAAAAUGUUCUAAAAUUUACUAUGGGGAUGGCUGCAUGACUUUGUGG
rnacentral:lncRNA from 10 species